rnacentral:lncRNA from 1 species
GCCUGAUCUUUUGACCAGAAAGGGAUUAAAAAGUUGCCCAUCCUGAUGGCUGUGCCUGCCGGUUGCAUGGAGCCUCAUUCAGGAUUUCCUGAGCCUCUUGGAUUUACAGUGAUACUCAGCUGCGGGGAGUGGAGGAAGCAUUCUCUGGAAUCACAGACGGCACACGUCUGGAUGCUAAUGAUGGUUUUACGGAUGGCCCCGGCUGAGUGCUUGGCAGAUCCCUGCAGCCUGGAUGCCUGUGGGGUCAGAGGACCGCGGCUUCCUGGGACGGCGGAGGUCUCUGCCCUUAUCUUCAUGCAAAUGUUCAGUUGGGUUGCUGCUAGCCUCACUGAGGGCGCCCCGUGAAACGUGAGGAAACUGAGACCCACGGAGUAAAGACACAGCGCGCAGACCUAGAGCUUAACACCGGCUGUGUCUGAGAGCAUGCUUGUCCUCCUCUGCCGUGCUCGGGGACGCUGACAGUGCCUCUAGGGACCAGGAGUCAGUGCUGCAGAAUCCUGUCAUACCUCGGAUUUUGGUGCCUUCAGUCUGAAAAAUACACACAUCCAUUUGGUACCCUAGAGGAACUGGAGAAUUGUCUUCCCCUGAAUGAAGCUGGACCAUUCUGGGAUUUGGAGAAAGGGCACUGGCACCCUGGGAGCUGGAGAGAUGCAGCUGGAAGAGCCCGCGCCCGGGGCACGAGGGGUCCCAUGCCAUGUCACGGGCUUGUCCCCAGCUGCCACCGUGCUGAUGGCUUGGCCGCCACUGCUGCUUACUGAGCACACCCGCGUGGGCCCUCGCUGCUGUGCCUUCUGUCGAGGCUCCGGCUCUCUCAUCCCUGAGGGACCCCGGCAUCCCACCUACCCAGGCUCACCAAGACAGGGCCCAUCACCGGUCCUCCGCACUCCUGAGUGUCGCACAGAGCGGGGGUCAGGCCACCUUAGGUUGUUGGGCUAUGGUUUUUGCAGAGUCCUGAGCUCCUGUGAAGAUCUGCUUCUCUCCAGCCUUGGGCUAUCUGCAUUCUUGAACAUCUCCGGGCCCAGAAGGAAAAGAAGAAUGCUGAGCAGCUCAGGGAAUGGCUUGAAUGAAAAGAGGCUCUUCUGCCUGGAAGUCAAAUUCCUCCGUUGGAAAGACUCCAUUUGA